rnacentral:tRNA from 1 species
GGGGGAAUAGCUCAACCUGGUAGAGCUAUGGUCUCCAAAGCCAUGAGUUGGGAGUUCAAAUCUCUCUUCCCUCG